AGUGAUGAGGGAAGAGCCCAAGAUUGAAAGCUGGCGUCUUCGGCGUCCGCAUUGUAAUCUCAAGAAGUGUUUUCCGUUUCGGACCAUGCCUAAGUCUCUUGGAAAAGAGCAUCAUAGAGGGUGAUAAUCCCGUACAUGGCAUGGAGCGCCCGAGACUUUGUGAUACGCUUUCUAAGAGUCGAGUUGUUUGGGAAUGCAGCUCAAAAUGGGUGGUAAAUGCCAUCUAAGGCUAAAUAUUGGGGAGAGACCGAUAGCGAACAAGUACAGUGAUGGAAAGAUGAAAAGAACUUUGAAAAGAGAGUUAAACAGUACGUGAAAUUGCCAAAAGGGAAGGGUAGGAGGUCAGAGAUGCGUUCUGGGAUUCAGCCUUGCUUUUGCUUGGUGUUUUUCCCAGAUGGCAGGCCAAC
rnacentral:rRNA from 1 species